rnacentral:lncRNA from 1 species
AGUCCUGACCGCACGGGGGCCGCGGCCACGGGGCGCAGGGGCCAUGGUGCGCGGCAGGAUCUCCCGGCUCUCGGUCCGGGACGUGCGCUUCCCCACGUCGCUUGGGGGCCACGGCGCGGACGCCAUGGUAAGCGCGGACGCCAUGGUAAGCGCGGACGCCAUGGUAAGCGCGGACGCCAUGGUAAGCGCGGACGCCAUGGUAAGCGCGGACGCCAUGGUAAGCGCGGACGCCAUGGUAAGCGCGGACGCCAUGCACACGGACCCUGACUACUCGGCUGCCUAUGUCGUCAUAGAAACUGAUGCAGAAGAUGGAAUCAAGGGGUGUGGAAUUACCUUCACUCUGGGAAAAGGCACUGAAGUUGUUGUCUGUGCUGUGAAUGCCCUCGCCCACCAUGUGCUCAACAAGGACCUCAAGGACAUUGUUGGUGACUUCAGAGGCUUCUAUAGGCAG